rnacentral:rRNA from 1 species
UACGUAGGGUGCAAGCGUUGUCCGGAAUUAUUGGGCGUAAAGAGCUCGUAGGCGGUUUGUCGCGUCUGCUGUGAAAACCCGAGGCUCAACCUCGGGCCUGCAGUGGGUACGGGCAGACUAGAGUGCGGUAGGGGAGAUUGGAAUUCCUGGUGUAGCGGUGGAAUGCGCAGAUAUCUGGAGGAAUACCGGUGGCGAAGGCGGCAUCCUGGACCGACAUUGACGCUGAGGAGCGAAAGCUAGGGGAGCAAACGGG